rnacentral:rRNA from 1 species
GAUGAACGCUGGCGGCGUGCUUAACACAUGCAAGUCGAACGGAAAGGCUCCUGCUUGCAGGGGUACUCGAGUGGCGAACGGGUGAGUAACACGUGGGUGAUCUGCCCUGCACUUCGGGAUAAGCCUGGGAAACUGGGUCUAAUACCGGAUAGGACGAUGGUUUGGAUGCCAUUGUGGAAAGUUUUUCGGUGUGGGAUGAGCUCGCGGCCUAUCAGCUUGUUGGUGGGGUAGUGGCCUACCAAGGCGUCGACGGGUAGCCGGCCUGAGAGGGUGUACGGCCACAUUGGGACUGAGAUACGGCCCAGACUCCUACGGGAGGCAGCAGUGGGGAAUAUUGCACAAUGGGCGGAAGCCUGAUGCAGCGACGCCGCGUGGGGGAUGACGGCCUUCGGGUUGUAAACUCCUUUCGCUAGGGACGAAGCGCAAGUGACGGUACCUGGAGAAGAAGCACCGGCUAACUACGUG